rnacentral:rRNA from 1 species
UACGAAGGGGGCUAGCGUUGCUCGGAAUCACUGGGCGUAAAGCGCACGUAGGCGGCUUUUUAAGUCAGGGGUGAAAUCCUGGAGCUCAACUCCAGAACUGCCUUUGAUACUGAGAAGCUUGAGUCCGGGAGAGGUGAGUGGAACUGCGAGUGUAGAGGUGAAAUUCGUAGAUAUUCGCAAGAACACCAGUGGCGAAGGCGGCUCACUGGCCCGGUACUGACGCUGAGGUGCGAAGGUCAGGGGAGCAAAGCGGG